rnacentral:rRNA from 1 species
GUAACGGACCGUACGGGCGAACCCUACGCCCUCCCGGCCCGGGGGACCGGAACAACUCCGAAACGGGGUAGGGCUAAUAACCGGACGUACGAAGUACUUGUGCCGCAUGGUACGGAUUUGAAAGAUGGCCUCUAUUUAUAAGCUAUCGCCGGGGGAUGGGCCUGCGUCCGAUUAGCUGGUUGGUGGGGUAACGGCCUACCAAGGCGACGAUCGGUAGCCGGUCUGAGAGGAUGAACGGCCACAUUGGGACUGAGACACGGCCCAGACUCCUACGGGAGGCAGCAGUGGGGAAUCUUCCGCAAUGGGCGCAAGCCUGACGGAGCAACGCCGCGUGAGUGAGGAAGUUCUUCGGAACGUAAAGCUCUGUUGUUCCUGACGAACCUCCCCUCUAUCAACAACGGAGGGGACUGACGGUAGGGAACGAGGAAGCCACGGCUAACUACGUGCCAGCCGCUGC